rnacentral:tRNA from 1 species
CCGACGCCGGGCAGGCCGGGCCAGCUCGACUCGUCGCCGGGCAGCGGACGGGCGCCGUACGGGUCGGUGGCGUCGGC